GGAAACACUUAGGUUGUAGGGGAACGCUUGAAGAGUGGGCUGCGUCUUCCUCCAAUCAGGGCGUACAUGGAUGACAUGACCAAAUAACAACAACAAAAGCAUGCACCAAACGCCUGCUGGAUAAACUCCAGGAAAACAUCAAAUGGGCACGAAUG